rnacentral:rRNA from 1 species
AGUCGAACGGGCACUUUCGGGUGUCAGUGGCGGACGGCUGAGUAACACGUGGGUGACCUGCCCUCGAGCGGGGGAUAACUGCCCGAAAGGGUGGCUAAUACCGCAGACAUCCAGCAUUCGAUUGUUGGAUUGAACCGUUAGGGUUCGAGGAGGGGCCCGCGGCCGAUUAGCUUGCUGGUGGGGUAAUGGCCUACCAGGGCUGCGAUCGGUAGCUGGUCUGAGAGGAUGAUCAGCCAGACUGGGACUGCGAGACGGCCCAGACUCCUACGGGAGGCAGCAGUUAGGAAUUUUGGGCAAUGGGGGCAACCCUGACCCAGCAACGCCGCGUGGGUGAUGAAGGCCUUCGGGUCGUAAAGCCCUUUUCCCAGGGAAGAUAGUGACGGUACCUGGGGAAUCAGCCCCGGCUAACUACGUGCCAGCAGCCGCG